rnacentral:rRNA from 1 species
UACGUAGGGUGCGAGCGUUAAUCGGAAUUACUGGGCGUAAAGCGUGCGCAGGCGGUUUCUUAAGCCAGAUGUGAAAGCCCCGGGCUUAACCUGGGAAUUGCGUUUGGAACUGGGAGACUAGAGUGUGGCAGAGGGAGGUAGAAUUCCACGUGUAGCAGUGAAGUGCGUAGAGAUGUGGAGGAAUACCGAUGGCGAAGGCAGCCUCCGGGGCCAACAAUGACGAUCAUGCACGAAAGCGUGGGGAGCAAACAGG